GACGAACGCUGGCGGCGUGCUUAACACAUGCAAGUCGAACGGAAAGGCCCUGCUUUUGUGGGGUGCUCGAGUGGCGAACGGGUGAGUAACACGUGAGUAACCUGCCCUUGACUUUGGGAUAACUUCAGGAAACUGGGGCUAAUACCGGAUAGGAGCUCCUGCUGCAUGGUGGGGGUUGGAAAGUUUCGGCGGUUGGGGAUGGACUCGCGGCUUAUCAGCUUGUUGGUGGGGUAGUGGCUUACCAAGGCUUUGACGGGUAGCCGGCCUGAGAGGGUGACCGGCCACAUUGGGACUGAGAUACGGCCCAGACUCCUACGGGAGGCAGCAGUGGGGAAUAUUGCACAAUGGGCGGAAGCCUGAUGCAGCAACGCCGCGUGCGGGAUGACGGCCUUCGGGUUGUAAACCGCUUUCGCCUGUGACGAAGCGUGAGUGACGGUAAUGGGUAAAGAAGCACCGGCUAACUACGUGCCAGCAGCCGCGGUGAUACGUAGGGUGCGAGCGUUGUCCGGAUUUAUUGGGCGUAAAGGGCUCGUAGGUGGUUGAUCGCGUCGGAAGUGUAAUCUUGGGGCUUAACCCUGAGCGUGCUUUCGAUACGGGUUGACUUGAGGAAGGUAGGGGAGAAUGGAAUUCCUGGUGGAGCGGUGGAAUGCGCAGAUAUCAGGAGGAACACCAGUGGCGAAGGCGGUUCUCUGGGCCUUUCCUGACGCUGAGGAGCGAAAGCGUGGGGAGCGAACAGGCUUAGAUACCCUGGUAGUCCACGCUGUAAACGGUGGGUACUAGGUGUGGGGUCCAUUCCACGGGUUCCGUGCCGUAGCUAACGCUUUAAGUACCCCGCCUGGGGAGUACGGCCGCAAGGCUAAAACUCAAAGGAAUUGACGGGGCCCCGCACAAGCGGCGGAGCAUGCGGAUUAAUUCGAUGCAACGCGUAGAACCUUACCUGGGUUUGACAUGGAUCGGGAGUGCUCAGAGAUGGGUGUGCCUCUUUUGGGGUCGGUUCACAGGUGGUGCAUGGCUGUCGUCAGCUCGUGUCGUGAGAUGUUGGGUUAAGUCCCGCAACGAGCGCAACCCUUGUUCACUGUUGCCAGCACGUUAUGGUGGGGACUCAGUGGAGACCGCCGGGGUCAACUCGGAGGAAGGUGGGGAUGACGUCAAGUCAUCAUGCCCCUUAUGUCCAGGGCCUCACGCAUGCUACAAUGGCUGGUACAGAGAGUGGCGAGCCUGUGAGGGUGAGCGAAUCUCGGAAAGCCGGUCUCAGUUCGGAUUGGGGUCUGCAACUCGACCUCAUGAAGUCGGAGUCGCUAGUAAUCGCAGAUCAGCAACGCUGCGGUGAAUACGUUACCGGGGCU
rnacentral:rRNA from 1 species